AGGGGAUAGGAAGCGCAAACCCAGACGGACUAGGGUGCAGAAACACUCGAAGAACAGAGACCCAGACAGAGUCCCGGAGAAAGAGAGAUGAAGAGACGAUACGCGUAGCGAUAGAAGCCGAGCUGGCAAGAUGACAGGGGGGAAGAGAAAGAAGAAAAGUGAGGCGGCCGUGUCAGAAUGGAGGAACCAGGACGAGGGCCGCGGGGGCGGGACUGGGCCCCAGUUAAUGAGGUGGAAAUGAAUUCAGGACGGGCUGCGACUGGGACCGAGACUGUGGCAGACUUGGCCUGGGUUCCUGGGGCUACAGGGCUCUGGCAUCCUGUACAAUUUCCAAGUUAUUCGCUGUUCCCUGUGUAGAGAGUGCGGCGUGGGGUGCAAAAGAGGACCAAACAUCAUCUCCAUCUGCAGCAACUUCUCCUGCAAGGAAAAAUAAGCCGCAGUACGGUGCAAAGUGUGGGAGACAUCCAAAGCUGUGGAAGAAGAAGGAAGGGUCACUAUUUAGGGGGUUCCCCACAAAUGUUCGAGGAAAGAGAUAACGUCUACGUAGGUUCUAGGAAUGCAGGAGGCCCAGGUCCAAGGAGAUGGCAGAAAGAAUACUGAUGACAGAGGAACUGCCAUUGUGAAGUCCUGUGGGAACACAGACACAUCAGCUUAGGAAAUAGCGUCAAACUCUUCCCAUCCACUAUGUACUCUCAUUAUCUGAUCUGUUUUGAGUGAUUUGUACCCUCUAUCUGAUGCAUGGCAUACACUAAAGAAGAAAAUAAAGACGUCCCACUUUUAUUCAUAACAGACAUUGAACUACAUAUCAAUAGACUGCUUUAC
rnacentral:lncRNA from 1 species